AGGUGCAGUUUCGAUGGGCCGGGCCGUGCAAGUUGACUGGGUUUGGGUGUAGUUUAGGUGUAGUUUCGAUGGGUCGGGCCGUGCAGGUUGACUGAGUUUAGGUGUAGUUUCGAUGGGCCGGGCUGUGCAGGUUGACUGGGUUUAGGUGUAGUUUCGAUGGGCCGGGCCGUGCAGGUUGACUGGGUUUAGGUGUAGUUUCGAUGGGCCGGGCUGUGCAGGUUGACUGGGUUUAGGUGUAGUUUAGGUGUAGUUUCGAUGGGCCGGGCUGUGCAGGCUGACUGGGUUUAGGUGUAGUUUAGGUGUAGUUUCGAUGGGCCGGGCUGUGCAGGCUGACUGGGUUUAGGUGUAGUUUCGAUGGGCCGGGCCGUGCAGGUUGACUGAGUUUAGGUGUAGUUUCGAUGGGCCGGGCCGUGCAGGUUGACUGGGUUUAGGUGUAGUUUAGGUGUAGUUUCGAUGGGCCGGGCUGUGCAGGCUGACUGGGUUUAGGUGUAGUUUCGAUGGGCCGGGCUGUGCAGGCUGACUGGGUUUAGGUGUAGUUUAGAUGGGCUGGGCUGUGCAGGUUGACUGGGUUUAGGUGUAGUUUCGAUGGGCCGGGCCGUGCAGGUUGACUGAGUUUAGGUGUAGUUUCGAUGGGCCGGGCUGUGCAGGUUGACUGGGUUUAGGUGUAGUUUAGGUGUAGUUUCGAUGGGCCGGGCUGUGCAGGCUGACUGGG